CAGAGAAAGAAGAGAGAGAUACAGAGAGAGAAGAGAGAGAUACAGAGAGAGAAGAGAGAGAUACAGAGAGAGAAGAGAGAUACAGAGAGAGAAGAGAGAGACAGAGAGAGAAGAGAGAGAUACAGAGAGAGAAGAGAGAGACACAGAGAGAGAAGAGAGAGAUACAGAGAGAGAAGAGAGAUAGAAAGAGAGAGAAACUUAGCGAAUCAGACAUCAUCAACAUCCGUAGAACCAGGUCAGUGUCUAGUCAGAUUUCCUGAACGAUCCAGACUUCCGUUUACUUUGGAAAAACUCUGGAAAACUUCACUGAGAUCCAAAGACCCACCAGCAAUCACAUCCUGAUCAGAAACAUCUCAAUCUCAUCUCAGUCCACCUGUUGUCUCAUUCAUAUUUACUGGCUGACCACUUAGGAUCCUGGUCAAAAGUAGUGCACUAGAUAGGGAAGAGUGUGUUAUUUCUGACGCAGCCUGCGUAGGUCCUGUAAGCAGCACCUCUAGGGCAGGAGACAGGGACACUGUUAUCUCUGGCCUGGUUCCACAGACUGUUUGUUAUUCCAAGGAGUCAGUCUGUACCCUACCCUCCGAUCACUGAGGAAACAACUGACUCUGCUCUCAGUAAAACAGUCUACUUCCCAGAACAACAACGACAGAUACAGUCAACAAACCACAGACUAACCACUGACUUCUGCUAGCAACACCGGGAGACCUGGGAGAGGAAAUGGUAUUCUGUGAAGCAGGGUAAAGAUAGAGCAGAUAGUUGACGAGAGGUGACGGAAGGGCUGCUGUGACACUGGGGUCAGAUUAAUAAGGGAAAGUGUGGCUUAGCAGCGAUUAUCAUCAUGUCAAUGAAUGCAAAAGCCUUGUGUGUCCAACUCUACACAUAAAGAUAUAUUGUACACCAGAGAUAAGGCAUAUGGUGAUGCCUAGAGGUACUCCAACCUCAAGACUGUGGUGCCAAAAUCACACAGGCUUUGAAAAGUUAUUGAAGUCACUAAAGUCACAACUUACGACCACUAUUUUGCAACAACAACAAACAAUAACCAUAUUUGUGACUCAUAUCAUUGACUUAUCAAAAGGAAUCGCACAGCACAAGACAAUUCUGUUUCUCAACAGGCACCCUGAGGCAAGUGUUCGUUUCCCCAACUCUAUACAUCAAAGCUAUUGUAAAUAUUCUAUGAAUGUCAAACCUCCGAUAAUAUCUGAAAACUCCUCCUUAAUUAACUAGCAAUAAAUAUUAAUGUGGAAUGAAGGAAGCAGUGUCUUCUGAAGAGAACAUUGCCAGCAUGUUUGAGAAGGGAGGUUUUGAGAAGGGAGGUUUUGAGAAGAGAGACUGAGAAGGGAGGUUUUGAGAAGGGAGACAGAGAAGGAGGUUUUGAGAAGGGAGACUGAGAAGGGAGAUUUUGAGGAGUGACGUUUUGAGAAGAGAGAUUUUGAGGAGUGAGACUUUGAAAAGGAAGGUUUUGAGAAGGGAGGUUUUGAGAAGAGAGAUUUUGAGGAGUGAGGUUUUGAGGAGUGAGGUUUUGAGAAGGGAGGUUUUGAGGAGUGAGAUUUUGAGAAGGGAGGUUUGAGGAGUGAGGUUUUGAGAAGGGAGGUUUUGAGGAGUGAGGUUUCGGCAGGGGAGAGAGAGACGGGUUCUACCACACCUGUCACCAUUCCCCUGGGUCAUUCUCGUAUCUCACGAAGCCAGAGGAAUUAUGAGCAGAACAGAACUCUGCUCUCUAAAGAUGUUGGCCGGGUUUUUUUUGUAAUUUUCUGCGCUGUGUUUUUAUCUGCAUGAAUUCCGCUGAAGUUGAAAAAUGUUUAUAUCUUGUGUGAAACUCAAGAAAAUGGUUAAUGUAAAAACAAAUGGAGCAUGGUCCAUAUGUGUGUGUGUCUCUCUCUGUCUCUCUCUCUCUCUCUCUCUCUCUCUCUCUCUCUCUCUCUCUCU
ensembl:lncRNA